UACCAGCACCCCGAGUGGUCGGGACGAUUAUUGGGCCUAAAGCAUCCGUAGCCGGUUCUACAAGUCUUCCGUUAAAUCCACCUGCUCAACAGAUGGGCUGCGGAGGAUACUAUAGAGCUAGGAGGCGGGAGAGGCAAGCGGUACUUAGUGGGUAGGGGUAAAAUCCGUUGAUCCAUUGAAGACCACCAGUGGCGAAGGCGGCUUGCCAGAACGCACUCGACGGUGAGGGAUGAA
rnacentral:rRNA from 1 species